AGCCCUAGUGAGAUAUAUAAAAGAUAAUGAGUGAUCUGAGAGAACCUAUGAGGAUAAAAGGUAAGCUAACUUUCUUUUCAAAAAUAUACAAAAACUCCAAGUGACAGGAUUAAGAAGAAAGGAUCUUUACUCUUAACCAUAUAUUUCCCUGACUAUAGUACACAGUGGAUCUUAAUACCCUACAAAUAUAAAGAAAAUGUUUUACCCCAGAUAUUAUUCUUAACCAUCCUUUUCUCAAGGAUGAGUAAAAGCCUAAGUAUGGGGGUAUUUGUUGACGGUUCUUAAGUAUCAAUUUUAAUUAUCAAAUAAACAAGAGAAAGGACCAAUAUGCAAACAACACCUAGAAUUAGGGUUUGAUCUGACAGAAUUCCACGAGUUUUGUUGUUUAUCUGUUUCUGCAGGGGGUUUUCAGGAAAUAAUGAAGAAAGGCCCAC
rnacentral:lncRNA from 1 species